CUUGGUUUUCGAGCGUUUCCCUGCCCCAGGAGGGCGGUGGGCCCCAUGUCCAAUUCAUCAAGUGCCUAAUGAGUGGCCUCGGAGGUCCCGGCCCAUCCAUUCCAGGAGCUCUCUCUGCCUCGUAAAGGCAGAAGAAUUUCAACAGUUACACUGCACACUUGCUGGAGCAUCACAGGCUCAAAGUAAAGAGCUAGUGAUUUUGCCAACUUCCUGGAUGUUCACUCGGGUUCUGCACAAAGAGCCACAUUUCCUUCUGGAACCAGCACCGGGACCCGGACAGAGGAGCGGACGCUGGAAACUGUCCUGAGGAUCUGAGACUGUGAAUGAGAAGGCUGGACCUCGCAUGUGUGGGAUGGAGGACUGGCUCAUGGCCGUCUGUGGGAUGGUUCCCAGAGCCCAGGAGCAAACCGGCAGAGAGAGGGGCCGCCUGGGAACGGGUGACCCUGGGUGCUAGCAGAUGUCACUCAGGCAGAAGCUUGGAGGCACACUUACCUGCCUCCACUAGUACUUGGGUGCCUCUGCCGUCUGUGUGAGCAGGGCCUGAGCUGCUGAACUGAGGAAGGACAGGAGACGCUCAUUCACCCCAGCAGAACUUCAGAUGUGUAAGUAGCCCAGCCAGUGUCAGCAGGGAUGCCUAGCUGACCACCUCAGACGCAGGGUGUAAAUGCCCCAGGUUGUGUGCUUUGGUUACACAGCAGGAUGUGCUGGCUGAUCCAUAUCACCAGGUGACUGAGCAGCUCUCUCCACUUUGCCCAAGGACAGGGGUUGUGGUGUAAAUGGGCCUUGGGAAUGAUGUUUGUGGAGCCAGGAGCUGGGCUGAGAUUCUAGCUCUGCUCCUUCUUGUUGGGUGUCCUGUGAAAGUCAGUUUGAUUCUCUGGGCCUCAGGUUUGUCUUCUAAAGAUGGGGAUAAUUGUAAGGGCUACCUCCUGGGGGUUGGAGGGAAUGAGAUGGUGGAUGCAAAGUACCAGGAACAUAGUUGGUGCUGGACAGACAUUGUCAUUAUAAUAAACAGAGUUAAUCAUAACCUCAUGCUAUAAAAACCAACAACCACUGCCGUCUAGCCUCAGUCCUCCUCGCUGUGCU